rnacentral:rRNA from 1 species
GGAUUGCCCCAGUAACGGCGAGUGAAGCGGCAAGAGCCCAGAUUUGAAAUCUGACCCCCCAACCGCGGGGGUCCGAGUUGUAAUCUGCAGAGGGCGCUCCGGCGUCGGCACCGAGAAAAGUCCCCUGGAACGGGGCGCCAAUGAGGGUGAGAGCCCCGUACCCGCUCGGAUCCGCCGUCGCCGCCGUGGAGCCCCUUCGAAGAGUCGGGUUGCUUGGGAAUGCAGCCCAAAUCGGGGAGGUAAAUUCCUUCCAAGGCUAAAUACCGGCCGGAGACCGAUAGCGGACAAGUAGAGUGAUCGAAAGAUGAAAAGCACCUUGAGAAGGGGGUCAAACAGCACGUGAAAUUGUUGAAAGGGAAGCGCUCGCCGCGAGACAUGCCGCCCCCCGCCCGCCGUCCGGCUGUUUCCCCGCCCGUCGGGGUCCUCGCCGGUCGGUCUUGGGAGGCGGCGGGUCAGCGUCGGCCCGGACGGCCGGAGAACGCCCCCGGGAACGUAACCUCCCCUCGGGGAGGUCCUUAUAGCCCAGGGCGCGAUGCGGCCAGCCCGGGCCGAGGGACGCGCCUCAGGGUCCGGACGCUGGCGUAAUGGCGGCGAGCGGCCCGUCUUGAAACACGGACCAAGGAGUCGAACGUCUGUGCGAGUGUUCGGGCGUCAAACCCGCGCGCGCAAUGAAAGUGAACGGAGGUGAGAACCCCGCCCGGCGGGGGGCACCAUCGACCGAUCCCGAAGGGCUCCGGACGGAUUCGAGUAGGAGCACGGCCGUUCGGACCCGAAAGAUGGUGAACUAUACCCGGAUAGGGCGAAGCCAGAGGAAACUCUGGUGGAGGCUCGCAGCGGUUCUGACGUGCAAAUCGAUCGUCGAAUCUAGGUAUAGGGGCGAAAGACCAAUCGAACCAU